rnacentral:pre_miRNA from 1 species
UUUGAUAAGAUGACAUAGGAGAGGAACUUCUUUCACCUUUGUGUCAGUUUAUCAAACCC